AUGGCUCAGGACGAACGCUGGCGGCGUGCCUAAUACAUGCAAGUAGAACGCUGAAGAGAGGAGCUUGCUUUUCUUGGAUGAGUUGCGAACGGGUGAGUAACGCGUAGGUAACCUGCCUUGUAGCGGGGGAUAACUAUUGGAAACGAUAGCUAAUACCGCAUAACAAUGGAUGACCCAUGUCAUUUAUUUGAAAGGGGCAAAUGCUCCACUACAAGAUGGACCUGCGUUGUAUUAGCUAGUAGGUGAGGUAACGGCUCACCUAGGCGACGAUACAUAGCCGACCUGAGAGGGUGAUCGGCCACACUGGGACUGAGACACGGCCCAGACUCCUACGGGAGGCAGCAGUAGGGAAUCUUCGGCAAUGGGGGCAACCCUGACCGAGCAACGCCGCGUGAGUGAAGAAGGUUUUCGGAUCGUAAAGCUCUGUUGUAAGUCAAGAACGAGUGUGAGAGUGGAAAGUUCACACUGUAACGGUAGCUUACCAGAAAGGGACGGCUAACUACGUGCCAGCAGCCGCGGUAAUACGUAGGUCCCGAGCGUUGUCCGGAUUUAUUGGGCGUAAAGCGAGCGCAGGCGGUUUGAUAAGUCUGAAGUUAAAGGCUGUGGCUCAACCAUAGUUCGCUUUGGAAACUGUCAAACUUGAGUGCAGAAGGGGAGAGUGGAAUUCCAUGUGUAGCGGUGAAAUGCGUAGAUAUAUGGAGGAACACCGGUGGCGAAAGCGGCUCUCUGGUCUGUAACUGACGCUGAGGCUCGAAAGCGUGGGGAGCGAACAGGAUUAGAUACCCUGGUAGUCCACGCCGUAAACGAUGAGUGCUAGGUGUUGGAUCCUUUCCGGGAUUCAGUGCCGCAGCUAACGCAUUAAGCACUCCGCCUGGGGAGUACGACCGCAAGGUUGAAACUCAAAGGAAUUGACGGGGGCCCGCACAAGCGGUGGAGCAUGUGGUUUAAUUCGAAGCAACGCGAAGAACCUUACCAGGUCUUGACAUCCCGAUGCUAUUUCUAGAGAUAGAAAGUUACUUCGGUACAUCGGUGACAGGUGGUGCAUGGUUGUCGUCAGCUCGUGUCGUGAGAUGUUGGGUUAAGUCCCGCAACGAGCGCAACCCCUAUUGUUAGUUGCCAUCAUUCAGUUGGGCACUCUAGCGAGACUGCCGGUAAUAAACCGGAGGAAGGUGGGGAUGACGUCAAAUCAUCAUGCCCCUUAUGACCUGGGCUACACACGUGCUACAAUGGUUGGUACAACGAGUUGCGAGUCGGUGACGGCAAGCUAAUCUCUUAAAGCCAAUCUCAGUUCGGAUUGUAGGCUGCAACUCGCCUACAUGAAGUCGGAAUCGCUAGUAAUCGCGGAUCAGCACGCCGCGGUGAAUACGUUCCCGGGCCUUGUACACACCGCCCGUCACACCACGAGAGUUUGUAACACCCGAAGUCGGUGAGGUAACCUUUUGGAGCCAGCCGCCUAAGGUGGGAUAGAUGAUUGGGGUG
rnacentral:rRNA from 1 species